GUGCCGGUGCGGCUUCUUCUUUUUUCCUUCCGGUGAGCACCUUGUGCUGGGCACUGGAGUAUUGCAUGCCCUUUUUGGAUGAGAUUUGUGUAUCCACGUGCUGCUGCCCAUCUACAUGACUUGAGGUUGUCCCGUUUGUUCUAGCGGAGGCAGGUCUUCUGUGAGGAUUGUAGCUGCAGGAGAUAGGGUCAGUACACCAGAUUUCAGCAUCACAGUCAUUGUACUGGUUGCCGCAGUGAUGCUUCUCCGCACAGGUGCCGGUGGUUGCGACUGUCGACAAUUGUGUGUCAUACAACAUGUCCAUCACAUGUUUGAUCAGGCUGCCUCAAUGACGGUUAUGACCGUGGCGCAGGUCACUUAUUGCUGCAAUAGCUGGAGAGGUUGGAAAGGAGCGUGAAUUGUAUGGCCAGUCUCUUGUAAGAGACUGGCGCCAGUGCAAUUGAAGCGGGGCGAGGUGAUACCGCUGCUGUGCAGCAGCCUGGCAGGCGGUGGGACCGCGGGAGUGGAGUUCAAGACCACAAGCGCGGCUUUGGAAGCGGUGCUUGUCGAGCGACUACGAUCACAGCUGAUGUCAAGAUGCUAACUUGAGCUUCUCCCAACGCCCGCCUUGUUCAAAAGAGAUACUAGAAAGGGUCAUUACCUUGGAUUCAUUGUUAUUAUUUCAU